rnacentral:rRNA from 1 species
UACGUAGGUGGCGAGCGUUGUCCGGAUUUACUGGGCGUAAAGAGCGCGCAGGCGGUCGUUCAAGUCGCGUGUGAAAGCCCCCGGCUCAACUGGGGAGGGUCACGCGACACUGAUCGACUCGAAGGCAGGAGAGGGAAGUGGAAUUCCCGGUGUAGUGGUGAAAUGCGUAGAUAUCGGGAGGAACACCAGUGGCGAAGGCGACUUCCUGGCCUGUUCUUGACGCUGAGGCGCGAAAGCUAGGGGAGCAAACGGG